AGAGUUUGAUCAUGGCUCAGGAUGAACGCUAGCGGCAGGCUUAAUACAUGCAAGUCGAGGGGCAGCGCGGUAGCAAUACUGGCGGCGACCGGCAAACGGGUGCGGAACACGUACGCAACUUACCCCUAACUAAAGGAUAGCCCAGAGAAAUUUGGAUUAACCCUUUAUAGUACAACUGAUUGGCAUCGAUUGGUUGUUAAAACUCCGGUGGUUAGGGAUGGGCGUGCGUCUGAUUAGGUAGUUGGUAGGGUAAUGGCCUACCAAGCCGACGAUCAGUAGCUGAUGUGAGAGCAUGAUCAGCCACACGGGCACUGAGACACGGGCCCGACUCCUACGGGAGGCAGCAGUAAGGAAUAUUGGUCAAUGGACGCAAGUCUGAACCAGCCAUGCCGCGUGAAGGAUGAAGGUCCUCUGGAUUGUAAACUUCUUUUAUCUGGGACGAAACACUGGUUUUCUAACCAGCUUGACGGUACCAGAGGAAUAAGCACCGGCUAACUCCGUGCCAGCAGCCGCGGUAAUACGGAGGGUGCAAGCGUUAUCCGGAUUCACUGGGUUUAAAGGGUGCGUAGGCGGGUAAGUAAGUCCGUCGUGAAAUCCUGCAGCUUAACUGCAGAACUGCCGUGGAUACUAUUUAUCUUGAAUAUCGUGGAGGUUAGUGGAAUAGGUCAUAGCGGUGAAAUGCUUAGAGAUGACAUGGAACACCGAUUGCGAAGGCAGCUGGCUACACGAUAAUUGACGCUGAGGCACGAAAGCGUGGGUAGCAAACAGGAUUAGAUACCCCCGUAGUCC
rnacentral:rRNA from 1 species